GUUUUCUCACAGCACAAUGCUAGAAAGCUGUUAAAUACAAAUGUGAACUUCAUAACUUGCAACAAUUUCCAAACAUUUUCCUUCUGGAAAUACAUGAGUGUGUACAUGGGAAAUGUAUUUAGAUUUAAAUAACAUUUUCAAUCCGGCACGUAAUGACAGAAAUGACAUUUUAAAAAGCUGCAGCAUGAGUGUCUCAGCAAAAAUCACAUGCAGGAGAAAAACGGGAGUGUUGUAAAACAGCCACUGCUCAGAAGAAAUGGCAUACGUGAACUUUCCUAGCGCCCAAACUUUGUGCACACUGGGCAGCAAGCCCCAGUGCUCAGUGCCUCAUGUCGCCUUGUGGUGUUGUAUUCAAUAUUGGGUUAAAAUCAGCCACAGUUGUACGACUCCAUCCUAAUCCUCUACUCUUUUUUCCACGUGUCUUUCUCCGGUGGUGUUUAAUUUUCGGUUGCAGAGGUUAGCAGUGCAACCACAGUCCGGGUGUCACAGCAAAUGAAGCAAUAACAGCACCUCCUGCUCUGCACCGCGCCGCUUCUCACAGCACAUUUAUCACUGCAGUGCCAUUGUGCUUCCCAAGCACUCACCAAGCGAUGCAUGCAGAACUCGCAGCACUACUACAAGUUUCCCUCCUCCUCCAGACACAGCUCAGAAGAGGAGAAGGAAGCAGCAGCAAGCUCCAAGAUAGCUUUACAUUCACGGUGACAGCAUUAAGAUUAAUGCUAUCUCUUCGUGGUUAGCAGAUGGCGGGAGCAUGUCCAGUAGCUGGGACUGAAACCACGCUUCUCGGCUCGCUGUAAAAGCAUUAUUAUUUUGGUCAUGUCAGAAAAAUGUUCUUCUGCUUAUUUUAUCAGCGCUGUGCUCGUAAGUCAUGAGUGCCCAUGUCAUUAUCUACCCACCCGCUGCUGUCCCCACUCACGCCUCAGGCAAAACGCAGUCACAGCUUCUCAUGAAUAAGGAUGCGGGGUCUGCUCGGUGGCAGCGUGGCUGCGGGCCCUGCCCAGCAGAGUGGGGGGAGCAGGGCAGCACUUGUGGACCUCAGCAAAGGAGCCCGUUAAGGAUCUUCCACUCUGACCACCAACCCACAGGUGCAGUACAGAGUGCCUUCAAACAGUGCUGCUCAGUCAGUGUGCAGGCUGCACCUCUCUGCACACGUUAGCAAGUGGGCAUUCAGAACAAGCCAGUGGCUCCGCCGGUGCCUCGCUGCAGUUUCCAGGUGUUCCUCUACUUGUUGAUGCCAUUGCUGCCCUCAGUGUCUUUUUAAUCAUCUCUCUUGUGCUCACUGAUUUUUCUCUUGUUCAGAAUCUCGUGUUGUUUGUUUGCUUGCUUUUAAAAUACUUUUUCCAUCAUCACCCCCGGAGGUAAGCGUGUCCUGCUCCCUAGAGCACACCCUUGGCCCUGGGAUGCACUGCAUCUUGUUGGCAGCCCCUCCCUGUGUCCUUCAUGCUCUCUCUCCCUGGGACACCCAUGUGUGUCCCUUACAGCUCAAAGCACUGAACUUCCUUGUCAGGAGUCUCUUUUGUUAGCUGAAGGAAUGAAUUUUUUCACCUGCCAUUAGCACUGCCUACUCUUCCAGUUUCCACGUGAAGCGUUGCGUACUUUUCUUCCAAAUGUUACAGCAACACUAUUUUGCUAGAGCUAAAUUAUUCAAUUACAGCAAUCAAACUCCUUUUCUUGCUCCUUCCCUGGUGGCUGGCAAGGGGCGUGUGACUACUUAGAACUGUUUAUGGAAGAGAACCAAGUGGACUAUUGCUGCACAACGAGGAGUGCUCCCACAUGUUCCGUCCUUUUCCAGUUCCUGUGUUCCCUUGGUGACUAAUAAAGGAUGUGCACGCUACUUCA
rnacentral:lncRNA from 1 species